rnacentral:rRNA from 1 species
AUUGAACGCUGGCGGCAGGCCUAACACAUGCCAGUCGAGCGGAUGAAGGGAGCUUGCUCCUGGAUUCAGCGGCGGACGGGUGAGUAAUGCCUAGGAAUCUGCCUGGUAGUGGGGGAUAACGUCCGGAAACGGGCGCUAAUACCGCAUACGUCCUGAGGGAGAAAGUGGGGGAUCUUCGGACCUCACGCUAUCAGAUGAGCCUAGGUCGGAUUAGCUAGUUGGUGGGGUAAAGGCCUACCAAGGCGACGAUCCGUAACUGGUCUGAGAGGAUGAUCAGUCACACUGGAACUGAGACACGGUCCAGACUCCUACGGGAGGCAGCAGUGGGGAAUAUUGGACAAUGGGCGAAAGCCUGAUCCAGCCAUGCCGCGUGUGUGAAGAAGGUCUUCGGAUUGUAAAGCACUUUAAGUUGGGAGGAAGGGCAGUAAGUUAAUACCUGGCUGUUUUGACGUUACCAACAGAAUAAGCACCGGCUAACUUCGUG